UGGUUAAACUUCUUUGUGUUUGAUUGGUUAAGCCCCUUGGGUUGUCAUCUCUUGUUAUUAGUAUAGGGUUGGAGUUGGUGUAUUUAGGUUGUAGGGUUUCUCGUUUUAAGGCCUUUUAAGGUCAGGGGACUUUGUAGAAUAAAUCUCCAGCCCAGUCUUUUACUGUAUGUCAUUUCUUUAUCGUGUUUUGGUAAAAAUGCACUACUAUAAAAUAAGGCCUGCCUCUUACUGUUCGUAUGAAACAAUGCCGACUAUUUUCUUUCAGAAAAGAAGAAUUCUGCAUAUAAGAGAUUCUUUUACCAACGCUUCUCUUCAGCCUUCGGAAAAGGCUAAAUGACACAUAUUAGCCUUAACAUAUAUAUGUGUACAUUUGGAUAAGCCAUUCAGAGAGGGAUGCUGACAUAAUGUAGAUUGCUGACAUUAGGAAGGAUCCCAUUCAGACAACUACAAUUCUACUGACUGGAUAAAAUUAAUACCAAGGCCAUGUGUGGUACUGGAUAGAAUUAAUACCAAGGCCACUUGUGUUACUGGAUAAAAUUAAUACCAAGGCCAUUGUGUUACUGGACUAUUAGUCAGGGAUUAAAAUUAAUACCAAGGCCACUUGUGUUACUGGAUAAAAUACUAAGACCACUUGUGUUACUGGAUAGAAUUAAUACCAAGGCCACUUGUGUUACUGGACUAUUAGUCAGGGAUAGAGUUUUAUAGUGAAACAGUGUGAUUAGAGUACAGACUUUCUGCCCAUAAUGGACUUCACAAAACAGUGCUAUUAGAGUUCAGACUUUCUGCUCAUAAUGGACUUCACAAAACAGUGCUAUUGGAGUUCAGACUUUCUGCUCAUAAUGGACUUCACAAAACAGUGCUAUUAGAGUUCAGACUUUCUGCUCAUAAUGGACUUCACAAAACAGUGCUAUUGGAGUUCAAACUUUCUGCCCAUAAUGGACUUCACAAAACAGUGCUAUUAGAGUUCAGACUUUCUGCUCUUAAUUAUUUUUUUUCAUUACCUUAGUUGAAUAAAAAUUCUUCACCAACUUUUUGGCAGUACUCAUAACUGUAAAAUUUUAACUGAAUAAAAGAAAAACAGAAGUA